rnacentral:rRNA from 1 species
CCUAGGGGCGGCUGCAGUGGGGAAUAUUGGACAAUGGGCGAAAGCCUGAUCCAGCCAUGCCGCGUGUGUGAAGAAGGCCUUCGGGUUGUAAAGCACUUUCAGUGGGGAAGAAAGCCUUGGGGCUAAUACCCUCGAGGAAGGACAUCACCCACAGAAGAAGCACCGGCUAACUCCGUGCCAGCAGCCGCGGUAAUACGGAGGGUGCGAGCGAUAAUCGGAAUUACUGGGCGUAAAGCGCGCGUAGGCGGUCUGAUAAGCCGGUUGUGAAAGCCCCGGGCUCAACCUGGGAACGGCAUCCGGAACUGUCAGGCUAGAGUGCAGGAGAGGAAGGUAGAAUUCCCGGUGUAGCGGUGAAAUGCGUAGAGAUCGGGAGGAAUACCAGUGGCGAAGGCGGCCUUCUGGACUGACACUGACGCUGAGGUGCGAAAGCGUGGGUAGCAAACAGGAUUAGAUACCCCGGUAGUC